UUGAUUCAUUUAACUACAACUGUUUGUUGUUGUCAAGUCAUAUAAAAAUGAGACUUGGUGUUUUUCAAAUUUUCAAAAUUUCUGCCCUUUAAAGGUAGGUAGGAUUUGCAAAAAUAACUUUUUGUCAUAUUUGCUGAAACUGUCAUUAUAUCCUGGUAGUAAUAUGUGAGACAGAACAUAUGUGAAAGAAUCUAGUUCAUUUAGCGACCCCUACUGCCUUUAAUGCCAUUUGCAAGAAUCCACGCGCCCGAAGAAAAAUCACCAAUCACAGUCAGGGGGUGUCUCUCCGCUCUGUCAAUCAUCUGGGGUACGAGCUGUGCAGCGCUGACAGUACCUGUGCACAUACUCACUCGCUCGGUCAAGAUCAUGUCUUGGCAACAAGGAGCUAGCAGCAGAAGCGGAGUUAGUUUGAAAAUACAAUGGCAGAGAACGCCAAGCACCUCCUUUGCCGGUAACUGCAUAUACGACAAAGACUACGAGCAAAAACAAGCUAAAAAGAAGGAUGCAGAUCGAGCCAGAGAUAAAACCUUCGUAUAUAUUGGAGCGGCGUUCCACAGAUGAGAGAGCUGCGAGACCUAAAGGAUUCACAAACUAUUCUUUCUACUUGACCGGUAAUUAUCCCUGUUUCAUUUAUCUUUUAUUUUAUUUUCCAUUUUAUUUUAGCACUCUCUAACCACGCCGUUUGCAACUGUGAUUUCUUUAUUAUGCUGCUAGUUGCUAGGUUCAAAGUGCUAUGGCGUACUGUUUAGUUAGCAUCACUAUUUAUCACCAAAUGUAGCAUCCUGUGCUAUGCUGAAUGCUAAGUAGGUGUCGAUAUUCCCAGUUUUGACUAGUCACAUUCACGUAGGCCUACUGAAUUUACAAAUGCACUAAUCACUGUAGAGCAGACUGUGAAAUUAUUUAAAUUUAUAUGUCUGAGCACAAUGAGUGUUAGAAAAUGACUGAGCGAAUGUGAUUUGAAGCAGAGCUAACUGUAGCAGUACAUCGACAGUAGUAGAUUUACAGUGCCGUUAUUAGUCUGUCAAUAGCGCACCAGCGUCUCAAGCCGAAGCUGAAGUUCCCGUGUGUUGUUUACACACUGUUACUUUCACUGUCAAGAAAGUGAAGGCAUUUGUCCUGAAGCAAGACUCUACUUUGGCCAUGAAGAAAAGUACAAUGCACAUCUCCCCUGAUGUGAACAGCAUGUAAUUACACAUUUUGUUCGACUCAGAUAGUCAUGACUACAAAUGAUGUACUUUCCCCUUUUUACAAUUUGUGGCAAGUUGGUAACAUGCAGCGUAUAAAGUGGAUGAUUUAUUCCCCUGAUAGUAUUUCGAUUUGUGAUCAAUCAAUUUGGAAUGGAGGAAUAUUUUUUCCUGGAUCAUAGUUUCACUAACUCAUGUUGCUUUUCUAAAGAGAUGAUGACUUUGCUGGUUGAGGAAGCUGCAAUUCAGGUCCUGGAUACAAGGCUGCUUUGUGGGGGUUCUGCUUCUUGGGUAGGCCUUUGACGAACCUGUCUAGAAUGGAGAGAGUCGUCUCUUUGAUGGUGGGGAUGUGAUGUAAAGACCAGGUUGUCUCCAAAACCCUUCAACUCACUAAAACACUUCAGGUCAACUGCAGAGCUGGAGUCCUUCUAUAAGCACAUCCUGAUGUACUGUACGCCAGCAAAAGCUUAAGCAUCAGCCCUUCAGGUUAUGAAGCCAGAAUCUUACUGCGGCUCAAACCACAACCACCACGUCCACAGACCACCCACAAGAAGAACUGAAAGGCUCUGUCCAUAUUAAAAGGAUAAGAAAUGUUUGACAAGAUUAUUGGGAUUUUUGAUGUUGUAGUUAAAUAAGUGAAUAUUUGCGCAUGCUUUGUUUCAGGAAACAAAUCCUGAAACUAUAUUCAAACAUUAAAUUUGUAAAUACAAAUACAUAAAUCUACAUGAAUAUUAUAAAUAUUCAACACACCUACUUUGUAUUUUAUUCAUGUGCAAAAUAAAGCUUGACAUAUUACAUCAUUGUUCAAUUUGAUAAACUUCUUAUGCUUUUCUUUGAGAUAUUGCAUGUAGUAAUGAAUCAGUGAAUCUGAUUACCCUAAAUUCACCUUGUUGUUUAUUCAUGCAAUGAGAAACCAAUCACUUUCAAACAUACACUUUAUCGUAAGGCAAAUACUGACGUUGCAUAAAUAUUCAAAUAUAACUUUGAAAUAAAUGACUGAAAUGAAAAAAAAUAUAUUGCACAGCACAUUAUUUACAUCUAGCAAAGGUCACUGAAGCUACACCCUCCUUGGGAUGAAACCAGUGCACGCAGCAGGUACCAACUGGCUCAUCACAUGAAGAUCAGCAAUGUCCUUGGGU